AUUGAACGCUGGCGGCAUGCCUUACACAUGCAAGUCGAACGGUAACAGGUUAAGCUGACGAGUGGCGAACGGGUGAGUAAUAUAUCGGAACGUGCCCAGUCGUGGGGAUAACGUAGCGAAAGCUACGCUAAUACCGCAUACGAUCUACGGAUGAAAGCGGGGGAUCGCAAGACCUCGCGCGAUUGGAGCGGCCGAUAUCAGAUUGGGUAGUUGGUGGGGUAAAGGCCCACCAAGCCAGCGAUCUGUAGCUGGUCUGAGAGGACGACCAGCCACACUGGAACUGAGACACGGUCCAGACUCCUACGGGAGGCAGCAGUGGGGAAUUUUGGACAAUGGGCGAAAGCCUGAUCCAGCCAUUCCGCGUGCAGGAUGAAGGCCCUCGGGUUGUAAACUGCUUUUGUACAGAGCGAAAAGGUUUCUACUAAUACUAGGAGCUCAUGACGGUACUGUAAGAAUAAGCACCGGCUAACUACGUGCCAGCAGCCGCAGUAA
rnacentral:rRNA from 1 species